rnacentral:misc_RNA from 1 species
GAGAGCCCGUUGCGCGGAAACGCGCACGGCGGGUUCGGCGAGCGGCCUGGAGAAACGGACCAACGGCAACGCUGGCACCGCGCUCCAGGCCGACUCAACUAGACGACAAGUCAGACGGCCCAGCUUGCAGCCUUGAUCAAAUCUCUUCACAGUGUCCGAUUCGGU